AGUUCAUUCCCAGCGUCUUCUACUUCUACUCUGGAGGUCAUUGCAACAAGGAUAACAUUCCAAAAUCAACUUAGCUCAGGCCGCAGGUUUCAACUAGGGUUUUUCGAUUUUCCAAUAGAAAUUGGUUAUCAUCGACUUCUAAACAUGGCAUUGCUCUUCAAGUUGAAGAGCCUCAGAUUGGGUUAUUCAAUACUGUCUUCAACAUUUGCUUCAAAAACUAAAAGGUUUGUUGUUGGAGAUCGAAAACCCUCAAAUUUUUCUCUUCAAAAUCAGUUACUCUGCCGACACUUCACCUCAGAAAUCUCGGCAAACCAACACAAUUUCACAGUCACUUACCUCAUAAACUCAUGUGGGUUGUCUCCAAAAGCUGCAAUUUCAGCAUCCAAGAAGGUCGAGUUGCAAACCCCAGAAAGAUCAGACUCCGUCUUGGCCCUUGUGAGAAACUAUGGACUCUCUGAAGCCCAGCUCUCAAAGUUUGUCAGGUUUCACCCAGAAGUUCUUUUAGCCGAUCCUGAGCAAACCCUUUUGCCAAAGCUUCAGUUUUUCAUCUCUCUCGGAGUUUCAAAGGAGGACCUUGCCAAAACUCUGGCUUUCUGUCCAAAGAUUUUGUCAAGAAGCUUGGAGAAAGAGAUUUUACCCGAUUAUAAUUUCCUUAGGAGUUGGAUUCCUGAGAAAAAGGCUCUUUCUCUUUUGAAGGGCCGCUCGUGGUUUUUCUUCAAUGGCCACUCCAAAAAUGUGGUGCCAAAUAUUGAUCUUUUGAGACAACUAGGUAUGCCCCGAUCAUGCAUUUCUCUGUUGCUAGCUCAUUAUACUAAUGUUCUGAUGCUAAAGCAUGAAAGGUUUGGUGUAGUUGUGGCUAAGGUCAAGGAAAUGGGAUUUAAUCUGGAAAAAGCCACUUCCGUGUCUGCUCUACGUGUAUUGUGUGGUAGGCACAAGUCAGUAUGGAAUCGAAAUUGGGAACUUUAUAGUAGUUGGGGUUGGUCCGAUGGCGAUAUUCUCUCUGCUUUCAGGCGGUAUCCGCCGUGUAUGAUUCACUCGGAGAAGAAGGUAAUGGACGUAAUGGAUCUUUUAGUGAACAACAUGGGAUGGCCGUCAAGAAAGAUUGCCCAAUAUCCUGUGAUCGUAAGUUUGAGUUUAAAGAGGAGACUGAUCCCAAGGUGUUUGGUUGUUAAGGUUUUGUUUUUGAAAGGAGUUAUAGAUGAAAACUUGCAUUUGGGUUCUGUGUUGCUGCCUGUGGAGAAGCACUUCCUGGAGAAGUUUGUAACUGCAUAUCUCAAGGAAAUACCUCAGUUGUUGAAUGUGUAUCAAGGGAAAGUUGAAUUCCAGGAUGUAUGAUGUUAUAACAGUUUUAACACCUUGAUGCUGCAGUGCCUUGCUUGGAAAAUUGCUUUUGAGACAAUACACACGUCUUGCUUCUGUUGGGGUCCAAUUUAAACUUAUCCGCAGUACCAAGAAGUACAAUUCAGUGACUUCAAAGCCUGCAAUCAAAAUGUACACGUAAUGACUAGCUUAUCGGAAUCCCUGGAGCAAGGCAUUUUUUAUGCUUAUCUCAGUAUACAUGGGGUUGGGGGGCGGGCACGACUGGAGUUCCCAGGACAACAGCACCAUCAGUUUUAACACCUUUCCUUAUAUAUGAAUGAAUAUACGUGAUGAAUUUGAUCGUUUUGAAAUUAAGGAUCACAUUGGUGAUUACUAUUGGCAAUUGGACAAGUGGUGAUAAUGACAGAAGCUGGAUCUUUUGUCCCCACCGAUAACUAUUGCCAGCUGACUUGUCAUUGUUCCAAUAAGCUGGAUCUUUUGUCCCCUGAGGAACCCAAUGAAUAGUCCCAAUAUAUAUAUAUAUAAUACACACACACAGAGGAAGUCUAAACUUUUUACUGGAACUGGCAGGAAAAUGAAAAUUUGAAACAUUCUGUUCACUGUGCUCAUUCUAUGCAUGCUAUGAAUUUCAAUAGUUACAGUCUUACAACGGUUGAUAAAUAAACAACUAUGUAAAUUCAGUAUUUAGGUUAUGGAGAUUGUGAUUCUUUGCAGCUUUGUAUUGAAGCUGUAUAGUUAUUUUAUCCACAGCAUUACACAUUAUUGGAGUCAUCUGAGAAUUAAAAUGGAAUGGCAUUUGGUAGGCAUUCAUGCUGUGAACAUCUCAUUUUAAUUGUUUUUAUAUCUGCAUUGUCUUCUCGGGAAAAUGUGACACUGAGGAUUGAGGUAUAUUAUUGUACAAGCAUUAUCAAGCUAACCACCUGAAAAUGGGAACUAGAAAUGUAUGUUUUCUGGUAUUGCUGCUUUGACUCAGUAGGGCAUUGAGGGUACAAUCCAUGUUUGAUCUGUUAGUCUGAUUCAUUCCCCAAUCUAUUAACUAUUAUUUGGUUAUUUAGAAGUGUUUCAUUGUUUUGUGGAGCAAUUUUUUUUUUUCUUGGUGGCACACAAGAAGGAAUAAUCAGCUAAACAGUCAAGGUGAGAUGUGAUGUGAGUAGUAAGUUAGUAACAUUUGUUUUUCCCUAUAAACAAAUGUUACUAACUUACUACAGCAUGCUGUGAAUCAUACACCUUUUGCUGCAGACAAGCUACUCUAUAAAUAGCUGAGAAAAUAUGACAGCAAAUAUGGAAAGGUGAGAGGUUAAUAAUGCAAGUAACAGAAUUCAUCUUUCAGUUUUCUGAUACUAUGGUUUCCAAACAGUUCUGUUUUCUCAUAGAAACUUCUCCUAAUUUGUUAUUGAAAUGCUGGUGCAUAAUCUCUGCAUAUAAAUAUUUAUUGAUCAGUCUACAUUUUGUCAUUCAGAUUGUGGAUUCUCUGCACCUCAAUUUAAUUUGCAAAUUAAUGUUCUCAUCAGGAAAUGUUACAUGCAUUGUGAGCCUCUUCAUCAUGGAAAUGCAUUUGGAGAAUUUUCUCUAGGGGUUGAAUUGCCUUUCAUAAUCUGGAAAAUGUUAAUAAGCUGAAAUUAUAAGGUGGAGAAGAAGGUGAAAUCCAUAAAUAGGCAUAAAAUGAGUGGAGUGGGUUCCUAUCAAAUAGGUCGAUUCUCUCCCCUUUUUUCUGUUUACUUCCUUUUCUUCUUACUUGCAAUUCAAUUCUCUACUGUUUGCUUCAUUUAAAUAAACUCUAGUAGGUCAUUUAAACAUAAUCUAAGUCAGAAUCGAAUAGGUCAUCUAAACGUAAUCCAGGUCUCAAAUAGAACAAUUUUACUGUCAAAUAUUGUUUUCUGGUGGCAAAAAUAUCUUCUUUUUUUGUUCUUUUAUGGAUUGGGGGAACGUGGAUCCCUCUGGUUCAAAGAAAAUGGAUUUGUGGGAAAUCAAUUCCAAUGUCUUUUAUGAGGGGAUGGAAUGGAAACUAGAAGUCUUUUUCCAUCUUUUAUACUGCUAAAUUAACUUGAAAAUAUCAUUUUAGUUUAUUUUCCUAUGUUUGAUUUAUGCAGAAAUUAAAAACAAGAAUACACUUAAUUUUUCAAUUCUACCCUUACAUU